ACUCAAAUGAAUUGACGGGGACCCGCACAAGCAGUGGAGUGCCUGGUUUAAUUCGAUGAUCAACGAAGAACCUCACCUGGGCUUGAACUGUAGCUGCAAGGCUAAGAAAUUAGUCCGCUUUCGAGGGUGCUAUAGAGGUGCUGCAUGGCUGUCGUAAGCUCGUGUCGUGAGAUGUCGGGUUAAGUCCCACAACGAGCGCAACCCCUCUCCGAUGUUAAAAUUACUUCGGAUACUGCCCUGCCAAAACGGGGAGGAAGGAGGGGAUGACGUCCAGUCAUCAUAUCCCUUAUGUCCAGGGCUACACAGACACUACAAUGGCUACUACAAUGGGUUGCCAAACCGCGAGGUGGAGCUAAUCCCAUCAAAAGUAGUCUCAGUUCAGAUUGCAGGCUGCAAUUCGCCUGUAUGAAGUCGGAAUUGCUAGUAAUCGCGCAUCAGCAUGGCGCGGUGAAUACGUUCUCGGGUCUUGUACACACCGCCCGU
rnacentral:rRNA from 1 species